GAGAGAACCAGUCCAUCUUGCCUGUGGCUGUGCCCUGUUGUGUAUGCCUGCCCUGGCCCCUGCCUCUGCCAAAUGACAUUCUGGUGUGGAGCCACUUUAUGCCAGGCACCGGGCCAGGUGCUGAGAGUACAUCAAUAAAUCAAGACAUCAUAACACACAGUCUUGACGGCUAAACAGAUGAAGAAGUAAAAAAUAUGUAAAUCAAGACAUCAGAACGCAUAGUCUCGGUGGCUAAACAGAUGAAGAAGCAAAAAAUGUGUAAUCUGGUUUGAAAAGUGGUGUGUGCUGCAGGUAGUGACAGCUCUUUAAAGGGGUGCAUGUUAAUUGGAUCUGCGAAAUGGAGGCCACAGAGUUGAGCUUGCCCUGCGGCUGUGAGCUCCGAUCAGUCUUCCUAAGAAGGGAGGGCCCUCCAGCUCCUCCCAUCACAUGGGAAACACGAUGAGCUGCUCCCAAAAGAAAUCAGAGAGGCAGACAAACUCACAGGGGACUAACUACAGAUGGGGUGGCUUCAACAGACGAUUAUCCUCACACAUUCUGGAAGCUGAAGUCCGAGAUCAUGGCGUGGAAAGGUUGGUUUCUCUCUCCCUGGAUGGCCGACUUUUCCUUGUGUCCUCACAUGACUGUCCCUCUGUGCAUGUCUGUGUCCUAAUCUCCUCUUCUGAUAAGGACACCAGUCAUAUGGGAUAUGGGAUUAGGACCCACCCUAACAGGCUCAUUUGAAUUUAAUCACCUCUGUAAAGACCCCAUUUCUAAAUACAGUUGAUUUCCGGGGUACUGGGGGUUAGAACGUCAACAUCGGAAUUGGAGAAAGUGGGGGCACAGUUCAGGCCGUAACAGCCCACCUCGACGGCGUCCUUGGCCAUCUCUGGUGAGACUCAUGGGACUCCUCCCCCACCUUCAGCAUCAGCGCCUGGAUACCACAUUUCCAUUUUCCAGGCGAGACAGCUGACAAGGGUAAAGCAGAACCGCCAGGGAUGAGACUCAAAGAUCCCAGAAUACAUUUUACCCUAUCGAGACCCUCAUUUUAAAAAUGAAACUGAGCCACUGCGCCCGGCUGGAGUUGUAGGUUGUUAGCCACAGUUUGCUUUCACAUGUAGCGGGUAUCGGGUUCUUGAUCCUGGCUGUUGUCUUUCCACGGCCUUGUGUUCACACUGUGUUCGGAAAGGAAGCUGUGGUCUUACAGGUCUUCACACAUCAGUGCUUUAUGUGCGCCUUACAGAUCUUCACGGAUCUGUGCUUUAUGUUGCAGGAGGUCAGUAGGUUUAGGUUGGUUGGGUCUCUUCAAAUGUGAAAAGUCCCCACAUAUCAGCCAGGCACAGGGGCUCACACCUGUAAUUCCAGCAUUUUGGGAGGCUGAGGCAGGCAGAUCACCUGAGGUGAAGAGUUUGAGAUCAGCCUGGCUAAUAUGGUGAAACUCCAUCUCUACUAAAAAUACAAAAAUUAGCUGGGCUUGCUGGCGGGCACCUGUAAUCCCACCUACUCGGGAGGCUGAGGUUGGGGAAUCGCUUGAACGCCGGAGGCAGAGAUUGCAGUGAGCGGAGAUUGUGCCAUUGUACUCCAGCCUGGGCGACACAGUGAAACUAUGUCUCAAAAAAAAAAAAAAAAACAGAAAAAGUCACCACAUAUCAAGGAAACGUGUCCCAUGAAUGGGGCCUUAAGAGCCUGCUCUUUCAUGCUGCAUGAGUCCCCUGGCCCCCAGCCCGCCCUCCUCAUCUCCCCUCAACCCAACGGCCUAGGACCCCACUGAUGCCUCAGGGCCUGGAAGCCUCUCCCGCCACACCUUCUCCUGGUCCUGGGAUGGCGAAAUGACUGCUCACAAUGUGGCCAGGAUGGAUGGAGGACAUCAUAUUGUUCCUCUAGCCCAGUAUUCUGAGAACCCGCUGGCUGUGAUUCAGAAUAAAGGAGAAAUGAGGCCUGUUUCUUGGGCAGUGGAGGUGGGGAUUUUUUUUUCUUUUUAAUUUGGAUUGAAGUUUUUAGCUGUGAGUAAUGGUUGGCUUGUGCCAGAGAAGGCGGCACCUGUGCACAAGGAUGGAGCCCAGAAGGCCUGAGCCUGGGGUUUAGGAGCCGCUGGGAGAGGCGGAGCUGCAGAAAGGAGCCACGGAGCUCCUGGGAGAGUGGGGCCCGCGUCGUCUCAAGCCAGCAGCCAACACCACCCCCGAGAUGGCUCCAGCUGGGACACAAAAGGAACCCAUGGUUGUGCCGGGAAGUGUUGCCACAGCAGAUUUCCAAGAACUGAUUCUCAAAGAGAAGCCAGGCAGGGCUCCCAGCCCUGGCUCUGGGAACGCACAGACUGGGGGCUCCUAAACCCCUGAGCGCCACAGCCUCCCCGGGGAAGCCGGACCCUGUUAGCUCGUUGCACUCGAUGGCUCCAGGCUUUUCACAUGGGCGGAAUGGAAUGAACACGUGUGGGAAUCAUGACGAGGAUUCCCAAGCCGCUUCCCAACAUGGUAAAGUUGUAGGGUAGAACAUUCCCACUGCAGACAAAGGCGUUCCUCACCCAAGCCUGAGCACACAGAUGGUUAGAAAUAGCCCAGGGCCACGUGGUGGGGGGGGGGGGGGGGCGCCUGUAGUCCCAGGAGACCAGGCAGGAGAAUCGCUUGAACCUGGGAGGUGGAGAUUGCAGUGAGCCGAGAUCAUGCCACUGCACUCCAGCCCGGGCAGCAGAGGGAGAUUCCAUCUCAAAAAAAAAAAAAAGAAAGAAAGAAAAAAAAGAAAAAAGAAAGAAAAAAAGUAGCUCAGGGCCGAAGUAGAGUGGGAGAAGGGCCCAAGGGCAGGGGUGGCCUUGGGGUCAGGAGGCAGGACUUUCAUCGUACUGCAAGCAGGGCCAGAGAGGCAGUCUAUCCACGUGCCUCCAUCUGUGUGUACUCCUGUCUCGGUCUCCAGCACGAAGCAGGUGCUUGGCCAUCAUUUUGGGGAAACUACUGCCCAUGGGGGCCUCCUAGGUUCCCAGCCAAGGUGUCUGAGCAGCUGUUUGCUUUGUGCUCUCGGCUCUAUAGGCCAAGCAGGCUAAAUCCACUUGAACUACAGUAAUUCCUUCCUCCUGUGCUGGCUGGACACCUCACUGUGACACAGCACACCCUGCGGUCUCCUUUGGACUAGGCAAAGAAGGGUCCAGAUCACCGCACAGGACCUUGUUCAUUUAGGUGACAAUGAUCUCUUGAGGGUCUACAAAGGAAGAACUGGGAAGGCAGUAUCUGGGGAGAACGUGAGCCUUAAACACAAACGACACCCAUGAUUUCCUUCAUUACUAGGUGAGACGUGCCCCACAGAACAAGGACAGGGUGCAAGGAGAGCUGACAACUGGGGCGAACCACACUGCAAGCACUGAGCUAGUCUGAUGGGGGAGGGCGGUGGGCAAGUGGGCUCUGUGAUGGCAGCGCAAGAGGGAAGACCCGGCCCCCACUCUCAUUCUUAGCUGCAUCCUGGCAAACUCAGGCCAUAGUCCAGAGGCCCCUUUCCUCCAUCCUACUGAGCAGCCAGUGGGGUUGGAGGGGGCAUGAGAUGUGGCCCCUGCCCCAAGACAGAGACAAUAACACAAACAUCUUCACACCACAGGGGGCCCUAAAUUUUUGAUCAAGCACUUUGACCACUAAGUAAAUUUUGAGUGCCUUCCUGUAAGUAGUAGGUGAAUAGUGGCCCUCAAAAAGAUAUGUUCAUGUCCCAACCUUUGGUACCUGUGAAUACAACCUUGUGUACAAUAAGGGUCUUUGGCCGGGCACGGUGGCUCACACCUGUAAUCCCAGCACUUUGAGAGGCCGAGGUGGGUGGAUCACCUGAAGUCAGGAGUUUGAGACCAGCCUGAUCAAUAUGGUGAAACCCUGUCUCUACUAAAAAUACAAAAAAAUUAGCCAGGCAUGGUGGCAUGCACCUGCAGUCUCAGCUACUAGGAAGGCUGAGACAGGAGAAUUGCUUGAACCUGGGAGUUGGAGGUUGCAGUGAGCCGAGAUUGCACCACCGCACUCCAGCUUGGGUGACAGAGCGAGACUCCGUUUCAAAAACAAACAAACAAACAAACAAAAAUAAGGGUCUUUACAAAGGUAAUUGACUUAGAGAUCUCAAGAUGAAAGCAUCCUGGAUUUAGGGUGACCCUAAAUACAAUGACUGUGUCCUUAUCAGAAGAAGAAAGGACGCAGAGGCCAGGUGCAGUGGCUCACACCUGUAAUCCCAGCACCUUGGGAGGCUGAGGCGGGUGGAUCACCUGAGAUCAGGAGUUUGAGACAAGCCUGACCAAUAUGGUGAAACCCCAUCUCUACCAAAAAUACAAAAAUUAGCUGGGCAUAAUGACAUGUGCCUGUAAUCCCAGUUACUCGAGAGGCUGAGACAGGAGAAUUGGUUGAACCGAGGAGAUGGAGGUUGCAGUGAGCCGAGAUCAUGACACUACACUCCAGCCUGGGCAACAGAGUGAGACUCCAUCUCAAAAAGGAAAAAAAAAGAAGGAGAAGAAGAGACACAGACACAGAGACACACAGGGACGAGGCCAUGAGAGACAGAAGCAGAGACUGUAGGGGUGCGGCCAUGCACCGGGGCACACUGAGGGGUGCCAGCAGCCCCUAGAAGCUGGGAGAAGCCUGGAAAAGAUAUGCCCUCAGAGCCUCCGGAAGGAACCCACCCUGCGGACACCUUGACUUCAGACUUCCAGCCUCCAGAACUGGGAGGAUAAAUCUCUGUUGUUUAAGCUACUCAGUCUGUGGUCAUUUAUUACGGCAGCCCCAGGGAAUGAACACACUGUUUGUUUAUUUGUUUGUUUGUUUGUUUUUUAGACAAUGUCUUGCUCUGUUGCCCAGGUUGGGUGCGGUGGCACAAUCAUGGCUCACUGCAGCCUCGACUUUCCAGGCUCCAGCGAUCCUCCCACCUCAGCCUUCCAAGUAGCUGAGACUACAGGCGUGCACCACCAUGCCUGGCUUGUUUUUGCAUUUUUUUGUAGAGACGAUGUCUCACCAUGUUGCCCAGGCUGGUCUUGAACUCCUGAGCUCAAGCAAUCCUCCCACCUUAGCCUCCCAUAGUGCUGGGAUUACAGGCGUGAACCACCGUGCCUGGCCAGGAAAUGAACACACUCUCAUACAAAUUUAUGCAUUUCUACAUUGAGUAGUCCAUGGUAAUAUCCUAUGUACACUAUGAAACCACAAAGCAGUUGGCAGAAAGCAAGAGGUGCAUGGGGCAAGGGGAAGAUACAAGUAAACUUCAGAGUUGUCCUGGGUACCUAGGGGCCGAAUGGUGGUGACGCAGCCAUCAGGAGCAACAGGAGGAUGGUUGGUCCCAGCAUGUUUUAUUUCUUAAGUGGACGGUGGUGCGUGGGUGUCCACGUUAUGUGAUCAUUAUUUUCAUCUUGCAAAACACCACCUCUGUUGUUGGCAAAUGAAUGAAAUCGUUCAUAAUAAAAGGUUUUUAAAAAGGGCACAAGAUUUGAGUCCAGGCAUUGAGCUCACUGUCUGCCUGUGCUGGCCUAUGGCUGAGGCAGGUCUCCAAAGUUCUCCAAGCCUCAGUUUCCUCAAUGAGCAAGCAGGGCCCGUGAUGGUGCCUCCUUUCAGCACUGGAGAAAUCAGUACCCAGGCAGGUGGGCACAUGUGAUCAGUCCGUGAGCAUCCAAGCACGUAGCUGGUCUCUAUAGCAGCUCAGUUCCUUUCCAUUAAGAGAGAAGAAUGGCUCUUUUGGCCAUAUAACCUGAUACCUUCUUAUGACAUGGCUUAUACCUUUGUGUAAAUAACUUAAACCCAGAAGGGGCUGGAAUCCUCAUAAUGCUGCUGUCUCCAUCCCUGUGGGUGGCUGAAAAACAGAUUCUCUUAGCCCCUGGCCUGUUUCUUUGCCCCUGGCCUAUUUCUCACUCUAAUAUGAACACCAGGAACUGAUAGGUGAGAAGUGCUCUCACUGCUCCCAGACACUGGAUGCUUUUCUUGCUGUGUUUUCUGUGAAUAUUUCCAAAUAAUUGGCCAGCGUCUGCAGGAUGGCAGAGGCAGCUGUGAGGAGGCCCUCAGCCUUAGUUCAUCAAGCCACCCCGGCAUCAAGAACACCUCCCUACGGCACUGCUCCCCAACUUCCAACACACCUGGGGUAAAGUCUACAGUUCACUCCACUCUUACUGGCCUUCUCUGUGGCCCUCAGAUCUGCCACACUGGUUCCUGCCCCAGGGCCCUUGUACUCAUUUCUCUCCCUGCCCAGGACACUCUGAGCCAGCCCUUCACGAGGCUGACAUCCUGCAGCCACUCAGCUCUUGGGCCAUGAAGUCACCUCUUCCAGGAGGUCAUCCUGCCAAGGAGCCCUGUCCUCUGGCUUGGCACUGUUUCUGCUCCCUGCACUGUUUGCUCACUGCUGGCCUCGGUCCCUCUUGGGGAGGGAAGCCAGGAGCCUCAGGCAUGAGGAGAUGAGCCUGGCUCUGGGAGGGGAAGGAGAGGAAAAUGACCAGGCCACCUGCCGAUUCAACCGUGGCAAACCUGUGCUGUUUUGUAAUACCAGGUGCUGAGGACACAGGGUGGGCAACGAGACACAGGUUCUGCCCUGCAGGAAGCUAAAUUCCAUGGUGAAAAAAACAGAAGGCAGGGGGCACGGUGUUCUGGCAGCAUGGGGGAAGUAGGGAGGUUUUCUUGGAAGCAGCGACUUUGAAGGUGAAACAGCAAGGAUGAGUAAGAGCUUGUCAUGUGAGCAGAGUGGGGAGAGGGCCCCUGGCAGAGGACAAGCAAGCAUGAAAGCCGGCAGGCACACGGUGUCCACUGAGGCUGGGGUCUCAUACAAUUUGGCUCUGGGUCCCUACCAAAAUCUCGUGUCAAAUUGUAAUCCCCAUGGGUCAAGGGAGGGACCUGGUGGGAAGUGAUUGGAUCAUGGGGUGGAUUUCCCCCUUGCUGUUCUCAUGAUAGUGCAUGAGUUCUCACGAGAUCUGAUGGUUUGCAAGUGUGUGGCACUUCCCCCUUUGCCCUCUCUCUCUCCUGCCACCUUGCAAAGAUGUGCCUGCUUCCCCUUCACCUUCCACCAUGACUGUAAGUUUCC
rnacentral:lncRNA from 1 species